rnacentral:rRNA from 1 species
AGAGUUUGAUCCUGGCUCAGGACGAACGCUGGCGGCACGCUUAACACAUGCAAGUCGAACGAGAGAAGAGGAGCUUGCUUUUCUGAUCUAGUGGCGGACGGGUGAGUAACACGUGAGCAAUCUGCCUUUCAGAGGGGGAUACCGAUUGGAAACGAUCGUUAAUACCGCAUAACAUAAUUGAACCGCAUGAUUUGAUUAUCAAAGAUUUAUCGCUGAAAGAUGAGCUCGCGUCUGAUUAGCUAGUUGGUAAGGUAACGGCUUACCAAGGCGACGAUCAGUAGCCGGACUGAGAGGUUGAUCGGCCACAUUGGGACUGAGACACGGCCCAGACUCCUACGGGAGGCAGCAGUGGGGAAUAUUGCACAUGGAGGAAACUCUGAUGCAGCGAUGCCGCGUGAGGGAAGAAGGUUUUAGGAUUGUAAACCUCUGUCUUCAGGGACGAAAAAAGACGGUACCUGAGGAGGAAGCUCCGGCUAACUACGUGCCAGCAGCCGCGGUAAUACGUAGGGAGCGAGCGUUGUCCGGAAUUACUGGGUGUAAAGGGAGCGUAGGCGGGAUCGCAAGUCAGAUGUGAAAACUAUGGGCUUAACCCAUAAACUGCAUUUGAAACUGUGGUUCUUGAGUGAAGUAGAGGUAAGCGGAAUUCCUAGUGUAGCGGUGAAAUGCGUAGAUAUUAGGAGGAACAUCAGUGGCGAAGGCGGCUUACUGGGCUUUAACUGACGCUGAGGCUCGAAAGCGUGGGGAGCAAACAGGAUUAGAUACCCUGGUAGUCCACGCCGUAAACGAUGAUUACUAGGUGUGGGGGGACUGACCCCUUCCGUGCCGCAGCAAACGCAAUAAGUAAUCCACCUGGGGAGUACGACCGCAAGGUUGAAACUCAAAGGAAUUGACGGGGGCCCGCACAAGCAGUGGAGUAUGUGGAUUAAUUCGAAGCAACGCGAAGAACCUUACCAGGUCUUGACAUCGUAUGCAUAGCUCAGAGAUGAGUGAAAUCUCUUCGGAGACAUAUAGACAGGUGGUGCAUGGUUGUCGUCAGCUCGUGUCGUGAGAUGUUGGGUUAAGUCCCGCAACGAGCGCAACCCUUACUGUUAGUUGCUACGCAAGAGCACUCUAGCAGGACUGCCGUUGACAAAACGGAGGAAGGUGGGGAUGACGUCAAAUCGUCAUGCCCCUUAUGACCUGGGCCUCACACGUACUACAAUGGCUGUCAACAGAGGGAAGCAAAGCCGCGAGGUGGAGCGAACCCCUAAAAGCAGUCUUAGUUCGGAUUGUAGGCUGCAACCCGCCUACAUGAAGUCGGAAUUGCUAGUAAUCGCAGAUCAGCAUGCUGCGGUGAAUACGUUCCCGGGCCUUGUACACACCGCCCGUCACGCCAUGGGAGUCGGUAACACCCGAAGCCUGUAGUCUAACCGCAAGGAGGACGCAGUCGAAGGUGGGAUUGAUGACUGGGGUGAAGUCGUAACAAGGUA